rnacentral:tRNA from 1 species
GCACUCAUAGCUCAGCUGGAUAGAGCAUCGGUUUGCGGUACCGACGGUCGGGAGUUCGAAUCUCUCUGAGUGUA